rnacentral:rRNA from 1 species
GAUGAACGCUGGCGGCGUGCCUAAUACAUGCAAGUCGAGCGAACGGACGAGAAGCUUGCUUCUCUGAUGUUAGCGGCGGACGGGUGAGUAACACGUGGAUAACCUACCUAUAAGACUGGGAUAACUUCGGGAAACCGGAGCUAAUACCGGAUAAUAUUUUGAACCGCAUGGUUCAAAAGUGAAAGACGGUCUUGCUGUCACUUAUAGAUGGAUCCGCGCUGCAUUAGCUAGUUGGUAAGGUAACGGCUUACCAAGGCAACGAUGCAUAGCCGACCUGAGAGGGUGAUCGGCCACACUGGAACUGAGACACGGUUCAGACUCCUACGGGAGGCAGCAGUAGGGAAUCUUCCGCAAUGGGCGAAAGCCUGACGGAGCAACGCCGCGUGAGUGAUGAAGGUCUUCGGAUCGUAAAACUCUGUUAUUAGGGAAGAACAUAUGUGUAAGUAACUGUGCACAUCUUGACGGUACCUAAUCAGAAAGCCACGGCUAACUACGUG